rnacentral:rRNA from 1 species
UGAAUACGAGACGCUAAGGCGUCGAAGUAGUGUAUGUCAGACUUCCAAGAAAAGCUCGCACUGUCAUAGGUAAAAAAUGCCUGUACCAUAACCGACACAGGUGGGUAGGUAGAGUAUACUAAGGGGCGCGAGAUAACUCUCUCUAAGGAACUCGGCAAAAUGACUCCGUAACUUCGGGAGAAGGAGUGCCUUAUUUAUAAGGUUGCAAUAACAAGAUCCAAGCAACUGUUUACCAAAAACACAGGUCUCCGCUAAGUCGUAAGACGAUGUAUGGGGGCUGACGCCUGCCCAGUGCCAGAAGGUUAAAGAAGUUGGUUAGCAUUCGCGAAGCUGAUAACUGAAGCCCUGGUGAACGGCGGCCGUAACGAUAACGGUCCUAAGGUAGCGAAAUUCCUUGUCGGGUAAGUUCCGACCCGCACGAAAGGCGUAAUGAUUUGGAUACUGUCUCGGAGAGAGGCUCGGUGAAAUAGACUUGUCUGUGAAGAUGCGGACUACCUGCACCUGGACAGAAAGACCCUAUGAAGCUUUACUGUAACUUGAAAUUGAAAUUGGACUUAGUCGCGCAGCAUAGGUGGGAAGCGUUGAGCAUAUUCUUGCGGGAAUAUAGGAGCUAUCAGUGAGAUACCACUCUUCUAAUGUUAGAUUUCUAACCUUGAACAUUAUCUGGUCAAGGAACAGUUUCAGGCGGGCAGUUUGACUGGGGCGGUCGCCUCCCAAAUGGUAACGGAGGCGUACAAAGGUUUCCUCUGAACGGAUAGAAAUCGUAUCUAGAGUAUAAAGGCAUAAGGAAGCUUGACUGUGAGACCUACAAGUCGAGCAGGGACGAAAGUCGGUCUUAGUGAUCUGACGGUACUGAGUGGAAAGGCCGUCACUCAACGGAUAAAAGUUACUCUAGGAUAACAGGCUGAUCUCCCCCAAGAGUUCACAUCGACGGGGAGGUUUGGCACCUCGAUGUCGGCUCAUCGCAUCCUGGGGCGGUAGUACGUCCCAAGGGUUGGGCUGUUCGCCCAUGAAAGCGGUACGCGAGCUGGGUUCAGAACGUCGUGAGACAGUUCGGUCCAUAUCCGGUGUAGGCGUUAGAAUAUUGAGAGGAGCCUUCUUUAGUACGAGAGGACCGAGAAGGACAUACCUCUGGUGUACCAGUUAUCGUGCCAACGGUAAACGCUGGGUAGCUAUGUAUGGAGUGGAUAACCGCUGAAAGCAUCUGAGUGGGAAGCCCACCUC